UACGUAGGGUGCAAGCGUUAAUCGGAAUUACUGGGCGUAAAGAGCGUGUAGGCGGUUUGGUAGGUCCGUUGUGAAAACUCGAGGCUCAACCUCGAGACGUCGGCGGAAACCAUCUGGCUAGAGUCCGGAAGAGGAGAGUGGAAUUCCUGGUGUAGCGGUGAAAUGCGCAGAUAUCAGGAAGAAUAUCCGUGGCGAAGGCGGCUCUCUGGGACGGUACUGACGCUGAGACGCGAAAGCGUGGGGAGCGAACAGG
rnacentral:rRNA from 1 species